rnacentral:rRNA from 1 species
AAGGAUCAUUACAGAGUUCAUGCCCUCACGGGUAGAUCUCCCACCCUUGAAUAUUAUACCUUAGUUGCUUUGGCAGGCCGGGGCAACCCUCGGGGCUUCGGCCUUGGUGUGCCUGCCAGAGGAAACAAACUCUGUUUUUAGUGAUGUCUGAGUACUAUAUAAUAGUUAAAACUUUCAACAACGGAUCUCUUGGUUCUGGCAUCGAUGAAGAACGCAGCGAAAUGCGAUAAGUAAUGUGAAUUGCAGAAUUCAGUGAAUCAUCGAAUCUUUGAACGCACAUUGCGCCCCGUGGUAUUCCGCGGAGCAUGCCUGUUCGAGCGUCAUUUCAACCCAUCAAGCUUCGGCUUGGUCUUGGGGCCUGCGAUUCCGCAGCCUCUAAACCCAGUGGCGGUGCCUCCGAGCUCUGAGCGUAGUAAUUCUUCUCGCUAUAGGGUCUCGGUGGUGUCUUGCCAGUAACCCCCAAUUUUUUACAGGUUGACCUCGGAUCAGGUAGGGAUACCCGCUGAACUUAAGCAUAUCAAUAAGCGGAGGAAAAGAAACCAACAGGGAUUACCUCAGUAACGGCGAGUGAAGCGGUAACAGCUCAAAUUUGAAAUCUGCCGCAAGGCCGAGUUGUAAUUUGUAGAAGAUGCUUUGGGUAUGGCCCCGGUCUAAGUUCGUUGGAACACGACGUCAUAGAGGGUGAGAAUCCCGUAUGUGACUGGGUGCUUUUGCCUAUGUAAAGCUCUUUCGACGAGUCGAGUUGUUUGGGAAUGCAGCUCAAAAUGGGUGGUAUAUUUCAUCUAAAGCUAAAUAUUGGCCAGAGACCGAUAGCGCACAAGUAGAGUGAUCGAAAGAUGAAAAGCACUUUGGAAAGAGAGUUAAACAGUACGUGAAAUUGUUGAAAGGGAAGCGCUUGCAACCAGACUUGCACGCUGUUGAUCAUCCAGGCUUCUGUCUGGUGCACUCGGCAGCGUUCAGGCCAGCAUCGGUUCUGGUGGUGGGAUAAAGGCCUUGGGAAUGUAGCUUCUUUCGGGGAGUGUUAUAGCCCUCGGUGCAAUGCCGCCUAUCGGGACCGAGGACCGCGCUUCGGCUAGGAUGCUGGCGUAAUGGUUGUAAGCGACC